GUGCUCGCUUUGGCAGCACAUAUACUAAAACUGGAACAAUACAGAGAUGAGCAUGGCCCUUGCACAAGGAUGACAUGCAAAUUCGUUAAGCAUUCCAUAUUUAU